rnacentral:rRNA from 1 species
UACGUAGGGUGCGAGCGUUAAUCGGAAUUACUGGGCGUAAAGCGUGCGCAGGCGGUUUUGUAAUCCAUUUGUUAAAUCCCCGGGCUUAACCUGGGAAUGGCAUUUGGGACUGCAAGGCUCGAGUGCGGCAGAGGAGACUGGAAUUCCUGGUGUAGCAGUGAAAUGCGUAGAUAUCAGGAGGAACACCGAUGGCGAAGGCAGGUCUCUGGGCUGACACUGACGCUCAUGCACGAAAGCGUGGGGAGCAAACAGG